GACGAACGCUGGCGGCGUGCUUAACACAUGCAAGUCGAACGGUGAAGCGCUUGCCUUUUUGGUGGGUGUGGAUGAGUGGCGAACGGGUGAGUAACACGUGAGUAACCUGCCCUCUUCUUCUGGAUAACCUCAUGAAAGUGGGGCUAAUACGGGGUAUUCCGGGUCUGUCGCAUGGCGGGUUUGGGAAAGAUUGCGCCUUUGGGUGUUUUCGGUGGGGGAUGGGCUCGCGGCCUAUCAGCUUGUUGGUGGGGUGAUGGCCUACCAAGGCGGUGACGGGUAGCCGGCCUGAGAGGGUGGACGGCCACACUGGGACUGAGACACGGCCCAGACUCCUGCGGGAGGCAGCAGUGGGGAAUAUGGCACAAUGGGCGCAAGCCUGAUGCAGCGACGCCGCGUGAGGGAUGGAGGCCUUCGGGUUGUGAACCUCUUUCGCCAGUGAAGCAGGCCUGCUCCUGUGUGGGUGGGUUGACGGUAGCUGGAGAAGAAGCGCCGGCUAACUACGUG
rnacentral:rRNA from 1 species